CCUACGGGCGGCAGCAGUGAGGAAUAUUGGUCAAUGGACGAGAGUCUGAACCAGCCAAGUAGCGUGAAGGAUGACUGCCCUAUGGGUUGUAAACUUCUUUUAUCUGGGAAUAAAAUGUUCCACGUGUGGGAUUUUGUAUGUACCAUAUGAAUAAGGAUCGGCUAACUCCGUGCCAGCAGCCGCGGUAAUACGGAGGAUCCGAGCGUUAUCCGGAUUUAUUGGGUUUAAAGGGAGCGUAGGUGGCUUGUUAAGUCAGUUGUGAAAGUUUGCGGCUCAACCGCAGAAUGUCAGUUGAAACUGGCGGUCUUGAAGACAGUAGAGGUGGGCGGAAUUCGUGGUGUAGCGGUGAAAUGCUUAGAUAUCACGAAGAACCCCGAUGGCGAAGGCAGCUUACUGGACUGCAACUGACACUGAGGCACGAAAGUGUGGGUAUCAAACAGGAUUAGAUACCCCGGUAGUC
rnacentral:rRNA from 1 species